rnacentral:lncRNA from 1 species
AUUCUAAAUAAAAUCGUUUACUGUUCUAUGAUUUUAUCCCUUUUUUUCUCUCACAUUUUGAUACACAUCUUUGACGUCAAUUCGUCGGAGUAUACUUCCAUCGCCGACCUUAUUUCGUCCUCCUCUGUCGAUUGAAGAUUUGAACGGAGAAGUUGAUCCCCAAUCAAUCGUAGAUCUGAUCGAAUGUUCAGUUGAAGAAGACGGUUCUUUGUUGAUCCAAUAUUACGGUUCCUCCGACGAAUCGAUUUUUUGACGCCUUCGACCAUGUAUCUUGAAUCGACAGUAGCCGAAUAUCGCUCAUUCCGGUGGUUAAUAUCUUGUUCUCAUGUCUUCUUCCUCGGAUGAUUAGGUCACCGAAGAUUUCUCAUUCCGCUGGUAUAAAUUUGUUUUAUUCUGUUUAUUUUUAUUUAAUAACACUUAAAUUUACAUCCAACUUUUUGUAUUAUUUUGUUUCAGUUUGAAGAGUAGCAAAUUGAAUUCUUUCCAUUGGUGCAUAUCAUCGUUAAGGUAGGUUUGCUUAAUCACAAUUUGAAAUCAAAUAGUUAGAAGCCAAAUAGCUUACGUGUUUCAAAGAGUCAAAUUGUUUAUUAAUAAAUGUGGAUAUUAAUAUAAAAAGAUUAACAUAAUUAACACAAAGUCCAUUUUGCUUUUGUGUUCAUGCAAAUUGUCUUGAUGAAUUUCAUUUUAACAAUAUUUAGAGGGUGUUUGGCUUAGCUUUUUAGAAGCCAAAAGUCCUUUUUGGAAAAGAUAGAAGGCAAAAGAUGUUUGGCAAAUGCAUUUUAGAAGCUACUUUUGGAUUUGGAUACAUGUAAAAAUGAACUUUUUGGAUUUGGAUACAUCUAAAAAUGAACUUUUUGGAAAAGUCAGAAAAACCUGACUUUUUGUGACUUUUCCAAAAAGGACUUUUGCCCCCUGAAAAGCCAAGCCAAACACCCCCUUAAUUUCAUUUUGAAGAAACACAGUAGGAAAUAUCUGAUGACAGAUCUACAACCUUUCUUUUGAAGUUAGUUUUGUACCUCUUUUAUAGUGUUUUUGUAAGUUUAUAACAUUGCAACAGAAAUCAUGUAUUGGACUAUACUUUAUCAACAUGAAUGGAACAUCCAAAAAUUUAAGCCAAAUUUAAACUUUUCCAAAACACUUAAAAUCAUUCAACAUUACAUAGUUUGUUUUCAAAAUACUAAUUAUCAGAGUAUCCCAAUAUCAAAUCAUAAAAAUCAUAACACCUAGAGGAGCGAUACGAUCAUGCCUUUGCCUUCCCGCGAUCACCAGAGGUACCUGAAACAAAAAUUGAAACUGUAAGCCUGAAAGCUUAGUGAGCUACCCCCAAAAUACCAAUAUCAUAACCAUAUCAUAUAAUUAUAUAAGCAAACAUCAUGCAUAAUGAGCCUUCAGCCUGACUGGACCGCCUCGUAAGCCUUCAGUCUAUCUGGACCGCUCCCCGCGCCUUCGGCACGUCUGGACCGCCUCCUAGGGCCUACAGCCUAUCCGGACCGCUCGUCAGGCCUUCGGUCUGACUAGCAUAUCCUCCUGGGUCUGUACUAUAUCUGGAUCGUGCCUUAGACCCUGUUGAUAUAGUGAGGAUAACUCACCUCUUAAGUGUCGCACUAAAGUGAAAACUCAACUCUCGGAUCACCAACACGAACUCCUCUACCUAAAGUUACCACAAAACCCUUUUUCAUAAAUUUCCAAAUCACCAAAAAUACCCCAGGGGGUCAACUGGUCAACCCUUGGUCAAAGUCCACGUUCACAUUCAAAGUCAACAGUCCAUGUUGACCCAACUCGUCGAGUGCAGUUCACCGAUUGGUCGAAUUCUUCCUGAGCUCGAGAAGUCGUGAAAUCCUAGGUUGACUCGUCGAGUUCAUACGUGUCAAAAGGUUGAGAGAAACCUUAGCCGACUCGCCGAGUUCAAGGCAAUUUUCAACGGGCUCGCCGAGUUGUUCAUCCAACUCGUCGAGUACAUGGCCAUCUUCAUGUGGCUCGCCGAGUUGACUAUGCAACUCGACGAGUCCUUUCAGACCUUCAUCCAUACAGACACUUUUUAAGCCGUGCCAAGGUUCCAAAUUAUAGAUCCAAGCUUCUAAGGCAUGAUUAUCAUGUAAAGUUGCAAACUUUACGUGCAUGCAAGGCCUUAGAGGCUCUAAAUGACCAAUCUAAUCUUCCAAUGGAGCUUUACACCUUAGGAGAGUCUCAUCCUUGCAAGAGCUGGAAGCUUUAUGGACUUAGAAGCCCAAGAGAGUUUAGUUCUAAAGUUACAACUUCAGAUCUUAGCUUAUACACAAGAAAAGCUUCCAAACAUACUAGGAAAACCCUAAAAUUUGCCCAAAAAGGGAUCUAGAAAUGAAAUGAGGUCAGGAUAGCGAUUUAAUACCUUCCAAAAGAUGCCAAAUAAGAUAGAUUUUGGAUCCCACAAGCUCCUUGCUUUUGGAUACUUGAUCUCCAAGCUCUUUCUCCAAAACAAUCCUCUUCCAAGCUCAAGAAUACACAAAUGGAACACACACACUCGAUUAGGGUUUGAGAGGGACAAGAAGGAGUAAAUGGGAGGCUGGGGGAGGCCAAUGAUCCUUUAAAUAGGGUGAAAAACCCCGGGAUUUAGGGUUUCAUAUGCCAGCUCCUACUCGUCGAGUCCCUUCUUGGACUCGGCGAGUAGGUCAUUAAAACGCGUGGACCAAUCCGCUGCUACCCGACGAGUAGGGAAACCAACUCGUCGAGUAGCCCUUGAAAUCAAGAAACUUUUAUAUUAAAUCAAUACCUGAGAAUCGGGGCGUUACAAUGAACCAUUAACUUGUUUAUUAAUUUACUUAUGAUCUGAUCUAUGGAUAUGGCAGCAGGUCCUCUUUGGGCUAUCUGCUACAAAAUUAGAUAUCUUGGAUACAUAUGAAGGCAAGGAGUAUGAAAAAAAGGUUAUUAAUGUUUCUUUGGUGAUAUUUUUUUUAUAAUCAAAUUGAUAUUUUAGAUUCAAAAAUUUUCAAAUGCACGUAAUUCAAUAAGAUCUAUGAUUAUUAAAUUAUUAUGAUUUUUAUUCAAAUGGAUAUUCUAGUUUUUUUUUAAUGAUUACGAGGUUCACUUAACGAUAUAUAAGCUUCUAUUCAUUCGAGUGCAUGUCCUUUCUAAUGCUCACCUACGGUUGGUGGAGAAGAUGUGUGUAGAAAUAAGCUUACUUGGAAAUUACCUUAAACCCAUGUCCUUUCUAGUGCAUUUGUUGGAAGGUAUUAAACUAUUACCUAAUUGCAUAAAUUACCUUAAACCCAUGAACUAUUUUCUCAGCAUUUUUUAUGUGUUUAAUGCAUGUUGACAAUGUAAUGCUUAUGGUACCAAUUUAGAUGUUUCUGACAUAUUUUUGGAUUUAAUUGGUUGGAAAUAUAUGGUAAAUGUAGGAAAUAACAUAUGAUCUAUGCCCACUUCAUCUUAUCACCAUUUUGGAUCUAAUUAUACAAGAAAUAACAUCUAUUUUUGGUAGCUAUUUCGAUCCAAUCCUAGCAUCCCACUUUAAUUUCAUCUUAUUUGAAAAAUCUAAUAUAUUUAACAACAUUAUCUAAAUACAAAGAAAUUUUUUCCAUUAUAAUUUGUAGAUCUUUUAAUGUACAAUGGCUAAAUAAGAAAAAAGAAAUACUAAAGUACACUGCUAUAUAUAGAUUGGUUUUCUAGAGACACCAUCUUAAAUGUAAUUCACAUGUAAAUCAUUAACUUGAAUUCUUUUUGUUCACAACAUAACAACUGUUGAGCAUUUGAAUUACAUGUGAUUCAUGUAAAUCACAAGGGAAUCACAUAUGAAUUACACGUGAUUUACAUGUAAAUCACAAGUGAAUCAUUUAUGAAUUACAUGUGAUUCACAUAUAAAUUACAUAUGAAUUACACGUGAUUCACAUGUAAAUCACAAGUGAAUCAUAUAUGAAUUAUAUGUGAUUCACAUAUAAAUCACAUAUAAAUUACACGUGAUUCACAUGUAAAUCACAAGCGAAUCACAUAUGAAUUAUAUGUGAUUCACAUGUAAAUCACAAGUGAACCACAUAUGAAUUACACGUGAUUCAC